UUCUUAAUCCUUCCCCGACGUGAUAUCCUGAAUAAUUGCUUCACAAUAGCGUCGUGGUUCUUCAUUGUUACGUUGCUUUAAGACGUCGGUAAAUAUGCUGAAUAACUGGUUCACAAUAACAUCGUGUUUUAUUUGAGCGUAGAAAGUGAAGAAAUCACAUUACAAUAUAUUACAAAAUUAAUGUCAUACACUGCCAAUUACAUAAGCAUCAUUCAAUCCAUAUAUCUUCA
rnacentral:lncRNA from 1 species